CCUGGAGAGUUUUUUCCGGAGUUCAGCUGAUAUAAAUUCCCACUGGAGAGUUUGAGGCUGGCAAUCAGCUUACUCAUUCUCCGCUUAUCAUCACAAACCUCUGACCUUCAAACAUCGCUGGUGCGGUGCCCGGCUGAGCAAACUCAAAUCGAACCAGCUGGUGAUUCACCGCGCUCCCGUGUCGCGACACGCGGCCUCUGCUCGCUCCCUGCAGGUUCCCGACCUCGUCCCACGUCUGGUGCUUGUCCCACACCAGUGGUGCUGGGCCCUGGGUGGUGCUGGAGCACGGUCGGGGUUCCCACAUGGUUAUAGGUGAUAGGGCAGGGAUGCAGCACGGGCAAGGAUGCUGAGCUGGUUGGGGUCCCCCAGGUGUCCCCAGCCUGUGCCUGACAUCUCCGGGGACAUCUCUCCCUCUGCAGGAGAACCAGGGUUGGGUUUUGAUGAGACCGAUGCCUUUUCCAGGCAGCAUUUUCUGCUCCCCCUGGCCCGUCGGAUGCUGGCGACUGACUUUUUGCUCACUUUUUCCUAGAAAGAGCCAUCCUCACGGCCUCUUCCAAAGGCAACCCGUGCGUGCCAAAGCCACCUCCGCUGCCCGGAGCCCUUGGUGCUCGGAGCAGGGAUGCUGAGCCCGCAGGGGGAUGAAACAGGGGGGCUGCAAGGCUGGAGGGGGGGCGCAGCCACUCCUGCAGGAGGGCCGUGGGAGGCAACUGGUGUGCCAGCAGGCGCGGAGGAAUGCGGCAGCAGGGCGGGGGGAGGACAGAAAUUAAUAAUUAUCCAAAGCGCACCCCUAUCACUGUUCAUCGAAAUUUGCCCAUACUUCAUUCCAGCCUCCUUUCUUCUUCUUGCCUCCAGGCUGACGGAGCAUCGGUUUCAGAUUCUGCCUCACACUUGGCUGCCUCCAGCACACGGGAAGGACCAGGGGUGAUGCUCUGCUGGCAGUCCCGGCGUGCAGCGCAGCAAGAGGCCGGCAAGAGCAUGCUGGAAGCUGUAGUCCAGGUGCCCCGGCAUCGCCAGCGCCGCACUGAGCUGCUCACAGCCCUCCUGCUCCUCCUCCUCCUCCUCCUUCCUCACAAACACCGCCUCUGCUUGCUAAUCCCUCCCAGGCUUUGCAGCCUUCGAGUGACAAAAUGCAAAUGGUGGGGGAGCAGAGGAAGAAAUUGCACAGCGAGGAGAGAUAAAGCAAAUAUCCGAACGCCGAGCCGCCUUCAGCGCAGCUCGCUGGCGCCCGAGCGUUCCUCCGGGAGCGCCUCAGCUCGGAAAAUGUUUGUCGUCUCCCAUCAGGUGAAUCCGUGGGCACGGUGUGGAGUAAAUGUUAAUUAAACUAGCACGGAGCUGCUUAGCAGUGGGCCAUCCCAGGCAAUCCCUUCUGCUGUCGACAGAGCUUGGUGAGAGCGUGCGAGGGAAGACUUUGACCCCGAGCAACUGCUGCAAAGGAAGCAGAAGCAAUUUUGCUGCCAUCAGUGGCAUUUCCCUGGAUUUCUUCUGGCCUUGCCAAAAGCAGAAUGUGUUGUCGAGCCUGCAGGAAACGAAGUUUUCUUUAUUUUGCAGGAGACGCUCGCUCUAAUUGCUGUCUUCCCGUGCCCGAGCAGCCGGCACCGCUCACCCCCAGCGGGGCCGGGGCUGGCCGAGGGACACCGCUGCUCCUGGGUCCUGCACUGAGGUGCUGGGGUUUUCCUUCUCUGGUGAGCAAAGGAAACCCUGGCAAAGUGAUAAGAGCAUCAUGAUGAAGUGUUAAACUGUGAGUGAUUCCUCGGGUCCUGUCCCAGCGAAGGAUGCACUGAAAAGGAUUCAUCCCCCCGGGGGAAGCAGCAGCUCCAAGGAUCUUCCUCUCACCCACCCCUCUGGGUGUAAGGACUUGUUAUAAAUAAUACUCGAGCCUAAAGGAGGUGAAUGAGGACUUUUAUGGAUUUAACACGAAACUCUAACAUCUUUUUCCACUAAAGCUUCUGUCAAUAAAUCAUUUUUUAAUUAUCA
rnacentral:lncRNA from 1 species